UACGAGAGGCCCAAACGUUAUUCGGAAUUACUGGGCUUAAAGAGUUCGUAGGCGGCAUUGCAAGUAGGGUGUGAAAGCCCUCGGCUCAACCGAGGAAUUGCGCUCUAAACUGCAGUGCUUGAGGAACCUAGAGGUGAGCAGAACAGAUGGUGGAGCGGUGAAAUGCGUUGAUAUCAUCUGGAAUACCGGAGGCGAAGGCGGCUCACUGGGAGUUUUCUGACGCUGAGGAACGAAAGCCAGGGUAGCGGAACGGG
rnacentral:rRNA from 1 species